rnacentral:tRNA from 2 species
GCCAGAGUGGUGAAAUGGUAUACACGGCGGAUUCAAAAUCCGCUGCCUUCGGGCGUAGGGGUUCAAGUCCCCUCUCUGGUACCA